CUUGUCAUCAACAGUGACUGCACUGACACAAGGACUCAUGAUUCAUCUCUUCUGUUUAGGUCAUGCUGAAAUUCCCCUGUCAGUGCUUAAACUGAUCAGUAGUCUAGUGGCAGCCUGUCCAUAUCUGGUAGUGACCAUCAUUCUCUGUGUAAUGUUUCAGAGCUCAAGGUCAUCAUGACAGCCAGCAUGUCGUAACUGAGGAAUGAGCUCUGUUUUUGUUUUGUGUUGAUUUGUUUUGUUCACAUGAAAUUUCAUGUUUGUAUUCAGUUCAGUGUACAGUUUAAGUUUUUAUUAAUUAUAAUAAUAUUUUUUUAACACUCAGACUUCAGGGACACAGCAUGCUUUUAUUGUUAUUCUUAGCUUUGCACUUCUUUGACUUACUGGUGGAUAUUCUAGUCCAGAUUAGGGGUCACAACAGUGCAUAUCCUUAUAACUACAUGUCAUAUCUUAAUGGCUAAGGUGCUGUGCUACUGCAGGUUGUGGGUUCAAAUCCCAGGUCCACCAAGUUACCACUGCUGGGUCCCUGAGCAAAGCCCUUAACCCUCAAUUACUAAGUUGUAUAAAA